rnacentral:rRNA from 1 species
CUCCUACGGGAGGCAGCAGUGGGGAAUUUUGGACAAUGGGCGAAAGCCUGAUCCAGCAAUGCCGCGUGCAGGAUGAAGGCCCUCGGGUUGUAAACUGCUUUUGUACGGAACGAAAAGCCUGGGGCUAAUAUCCCCGGGUCAUGACGGUACCGUAAGAAUAAGCACCGGCUAACUACGUGCCAGCAGCCGCGGUAAUACGUAGGGUGCAAGCGUUAAUCGGAAUUACUGGGCGUAAAGCGUGCGCAGGCGGUUUUGUAAGACAGUGGUGAAAUCCCCGGGCUCAACCUGGGAACUGCCAUUGUGACUGCAAGGCUAGAGUGCGGCAGAGGGGGAUGGAAUUCCGCGUGUAGCAGUGAAAUGCGUAGAUAUGCGGAGGAACACCGAUGGCGAAGGCAAUCCCCUGGGCCUGCACUGACGCUCAUGCACGAAAGCGUGGGGAGCAAACAGGAUUAGAUACCCUGGUAGUCCACGCCCUAAACGAUGUCAACUGGUUGUUGGGUCUUCACUGACUCAGUAACGAAGCUAACGCGUGAAGUUGACCGCCUGGGGAGUACGCCGCAAGGUUGAAACUCAAAGGAAUUACG